UCUCGUUUGUUUUUGUUUAUGCAGUGUGUUUAUGUUAUACAAAAGAAAAAUAUUGAUAUUUUAGUUAUUAAUCUUGGAUUUUGAGACUAUUUUAUACGUUUAUACUUGUUUAUUGUAUUCAUUUUUAAACAGCCAUAUUAUUUCCAGCAAAAGUUAUGGAACGUUUACAGAUACAUAGUAAUAUUUAUAAAAAAAAACAAAUUACUUUCUGCUCGCUUCCUAUAUUUUGUAAAUUUUUAAAGCUUCCUCCCAGACUCAUUUGAGUAUAAGGUGGUUCAUUUUUCCGAAAUAAAUGGAAAGGAUGGCGCAUUUAAUGCAGUGAUUUGAGCUAAUAUAACAACACAAGAAGAUGCUCAAAAUUGUCAAAAAGAAUAUGAAAAUGUCAAUAAAGUAAAUUUUAGAGUUCUAAGAACUUAUCCAAAUGAUUCUAUGAAGCUUGUUUUCAAGAAAGACUAUCGAUGCCAUCGCAAUACUCAGGCUAAUUUGCCUUCAUCAAAGACAAAAAAUCCGUCAUCUAAACAUGUUAACUGUCAGGCAUUCUUAAUAAUUACAGUGAAACCAUCAAGUAUGAAAAGGUAAAGUCUAUUUGCUAAUCUGAGACACAACUACUGUCUAGUGACGUUGGUAAUUUUUUUUGAGAAGUUAGGUUGCUAGACGUAACUGGAAAAGACUACACAACCAAACAUAACUACUCAUAGCCAAUAUUAUUAUUAACAGUAAACAGGCAUAAAUAACAUAACAUACACCAUACACCAAUCAAUAAUUAUUUAUUUAAACCUUUAUAAUGUAUUGAUAACAGAUGAGAAAAGUAUUUAUUGUACAAAAUAAAAAUAUUUUAUAGAAAUAAAUUCCACAAAAUUUUA